CAGCAUAUAGCAAGUGUUUACUUUCUACGUAGAUGGAUCACACAGAGGCAUCAACCAUUCUUUUGCCACCCAUGAGAACCUGCAGAAAUUUGUGAGAUGGAUAGCUAAAAUAAAGGAGCAAUAUGUAACCAACCUCACAAGAAAAAAACUAUAUUUUGUUUUUAACUACGUAAAUUUAUCUUGCUAGUUAAGAGAAGAUCAAUGCGUUUGUGACAAUAUACUUGAUUUAAAUUACUGUAUUCAAUUAAAAGGAAAGAAAUUGUUUCCAGUGAUAAAUCAACUAAAGAAUAAAACUAAUUGACGUCAAUAUUUUCCCCAGUUUUUUCUUGAUCACUAGAGGUUUUUUUGUUUGUUUGUUUUUUAAGAUUUCAUUUAUUUAUUCAUGCGAGACACAGAGUGGCAGAGACACAGGCAAAGGGAGAAGCAGGUUCCAUGCAGGGAGCCGGAUGUGGGACUCGAUCCUGGGACUGCAGGAUCAGGCCUUGGGCCGAAGGCAGACGCAAAACCACUGAGCUACCAAGGGAUCCCCAUGAUUACUAAAGGGAUUUUUAAUCAAAGUGAAUACUUGGCCUUACUUUUAUGGUUGGAGAAAGAGACACAUUUUUGCCUUCACUUGACAUGGAUAAUAAAACAUGUAGACCCCUGCAGUGGCUUGCUAUGCUGAAGAAGGCCUGCAUAAAGAUAGAUCCAACCCCUGAAGAAAGAAGGAACUGAAGGAUUCACAGAAAAAAGAAUCUGCACAAAGCUAUACUUUAUCAGUUUGAAAGCUACAUCACAUUAUUGAAGCAAAUGGAAAUUAUAGUCCUAUAACAACACUAUUCUUUCCACAUAAAUGCUUUUAUAGUGGAAAACAUCCAUAGAAACAUAAAGAUGAGAAUAAUAAGUUUCACCUCUGUUAAUUCAAUACUUUAACCUCUCUAAUAAUAUUGAUAUUGGGCUGUGGUACUUCUUUCUAUUAAUCUUUUAUCAUGACCAAUUAUACUGUUUCUCAAUUCAUUAUGCAAAAAUUGAUAGUGGAUCCUAAUAUUUUGUUCUACUGCUCAACUUGUAUACUUCCUCAUUUACUGUGAUUUUUCUCCUUCUUUAUUAUUCCCUCCAUAAAUGUUACCAGAAAAAGAAAUAUUAAAAUUGUCUUUUCUAUAAGAUUACAUGUUCAUCUAUCUGUUCUAUUUUCACAUGUCAAGUACAGCUUCCUAAAGUUGUAAAAUAUCAUACAACAGAUAAUGAAAACAUAAUCAUAUUAUAUGAGCUAUAAACCUUCUGACCUCAGGAUUUUUUUUGUAAUCAGAAGCAACAAGAUGCCAUGGCUUAGCAAAGAUUUCUCUCAAUUUUCUCUCAAUCUUAAGGCAAUAUGUAAUGGGAAGGAAGAUAGCCUCUCCAUAUAGAAAUUUUUAUGCAAGGGCCACUCAAAAACAGCAGUAGACAAUAAUCAUGUGUGAGAAUGGUUCAAAGACCAUACCAGGACCCAAUUCAAUGUGAUCACUUCAAUGUAAAAAAUUUGCUCCCUAACAGUACUAGGAAAAAUCUAUAUUUGAAUACAUCAUCUUAGGGCAUGUGGACAUGGAUAUCUAUGUGUCAAAGCAAAAGUAUCAAUAUCAUGCAAUUCUAAACAUUUUGUUGAAAUUUAGCAAAUUAAAUCGAUAGGAAUAUUUCUAUUUAGAAUA
ensembl:lncRNA